GAGGGGAUUCAGAUCCACCAUCUUAGAUCUAACCUCCUCCAGCAAGAUGCAAGUAACUCGUCUAUACCACCCCCUUCCUGACAACCCAGAGCCCUGUCAUGUACUCUUGGCCAGAGCAUUUGACCUUGCAGUCAAACAAGGGCACUGAGGGAGCCCUCUGGGUACCAACCAAACCCGCGGAGCUCCCGGAGGCUCGGGACCCUUCCUCAUCAUUCUCUCUCCAGCAUUUCGCACAGCGCCUGGCACACACCAGGGCUCAACAGGUACUUGUUGGGAGAAGAGAACGUACCAGUAAAGCCUUCCCGAGCAAGAUGCAGCAACAACGGUGGGGGUGAGACUCGAACUGCUGCAGACGCCUUCAGGGCUGGCUCAUGUGGAGAGAUGCCUACAGCUUCCGUGAUGGUGCUGUGCACGCAUUGGAAUGGUGGGCACUGGGGGCACAUGGGGUGCUGUCGGUGAGGCCUCCAACUCGGUUUUGGCCCAGCUCAGGACCUCACAGGUCAGGAGUUUGAGUCCUGCAUGGGGCUCUGUAUUCAUAGCACAUGGAACCUGCUUGGAA